CACGUGGGCAAUCUGCCCUGCACUCUGGGACAAGCCCUGGAAACGGGGUCUAAUACCGGAUACUGACCCGCUUGGGCAUCCAAGCGGUUCGAAAGCUCCGGCGGUGCAGGAUGAGCCCGCGGCCUAUCAGCUUGUUGGUGAGGUAAUGGCUCACCAAGGCGACGACGGGUAGCCGGCCUGAGAGGGCGACCGGCCACACUGGGACUGAGACACGGCCCAGACUCCUACGGGAGGCAGCAGUGGGGAAUAUUGCACAAUGGGCGAAAGCCUGAUGCAGCGACGCCGCGUGAGGGAUGACGGCCUUCGGGUUGUAAACCUCUUUCAGCAGGGAAGAAGCGAAAGUGACGGUACCUGCAGAAGAAGCGCCGGCUAACUACGUGCCAGCAGCCGCGGUAAUACGUAGGGCGCGAGCGUUGUCCGGAAUUAUUGGGCGUAAAGAGCUCGUAGGCGGCUUGUCACGUCGGUUGUGAAAGCCCGGGGCUUAACCCCGGGUCUGCAGUCGAUACGGGCAGGCUAGAGUUCGGUAGGGGAGAUCGGAAUUCCUGGUGUAGCGGUGAAAUGCGCAGAUAUCAGGAGGAACACCGGUGGCGAAGGCGGAUCUCUGGGCCGAUACUGACGCUGAGGAGCGAAAGCGUGGGGAGCGAACAGGA
rnacentral:rRNA from 1 species